ensembl:rRNA 5S_rRNA 5S ribosomal RNA
GUCUAAGGCCUUACCGCCCUGAGACACCUGAUCUCUGGCCUCUGAAGCUAAGCAGGGUGGGGCCUGGUUCAGUACUUGGAAGAGAGACCGCCUGGGAAUACAAGCUGCUGUAGGCU